rnacentral:rRNA from 1 species
AUUGAACGCUGGCGGCAUGCCUUACACAUGCAAGUCGAACGGCAGCACGGGAGCAAUCCUGGUGGCGAGUGGCGAACGGGUGAGUAAUAUAUCGGAACGUGCCCAGUCGUGGGGGAUAACGCAGCGAAAGCUGUGCUAAUACCGCAUACGAUCUAAGGAUGAAAGCGGGGGAUCGCAAGACCUCGCGCGAUUGGAGCGGCCGAUAUCAGAUUAGCUAGUUGGUGGGGUAAAGGCCCACCAAGGCGACGAUCUGUAGCUGGCCUGAGAGGACGACCAGCCACACUGGAACUGAGACACGGUCCAGACUCCUACGGGAGGCAGCAGUGGGGAAUUUUGGACAAUGGGCGCAAGCCUGAUCCAGCAAUGCCGCGUGCAGGAUGAAGGCCUUCGGGUUGUAAACUGCUUUUGUACGGAACGAAACGGCCCUUUCUAAUACAGGGGGCUAAUGACGGUACCGUAAGAAUAAGCACCGGCUAACUACGUGCCAGCAGCCGCCGUAACAC